GCCUUCUGGCAAUCUGCGCCUCAUAAAUGUUUGAAUAAAUAUUUUAAGAGAGGCACUCAUAAAUUUUGAGAUAGUUGAGAAGACCUUUUGUUUUUUGUGUCUGUUUUAUUGUGAUGUCAGAUUGUACCGGAGAAGGUUUUUCCGGUUUAUCCCGGAGGGCUUGUAGCUCAGUUGGUUAGAGCGCGCGCUUGAUAAGCGUGAGGUCGGAGGUUCAAGUCCUCCCAGGCCCACCAUUUAUUCCAGGCCUAUGAUUGAUUUCUAGGCAGACAUUUAUUCCAGGCUUAUCUUAUAGUUUUAGGCUUACUAUGUGUGGUUGCGUUUUUAUCUUUUAACUGCCAUGUUGUUUGGUUAAAGAGGGGCCGUAGCUCAGCUGGGAGAGCACCUGCUUUGCAAGCAGGGGGUCGUCGGUUCGAUCCCGUCCGGCUCCACCAUCAUAGGCUAUUUAUGCGCUAUGGAUCAUCAUGUUAGAGAACAAGUUUGCAAAUAGAUUUUGAUUUAUUUGCUGGUUCUAUUGAAAUUGUGAAGAGAAGAUAUAUUCAGACAUUGCUGUUUGAAGGCUCCUUUUAGGGGUUCUUUAGAGAGUGAAUGUGUCGCAAGGGAAUGCUCAAAACCCUUGCCUUAUGAUUGGCGUUUUAACCGACGUCAUUGAAUAUAUCUCGAGAAACUGGUCCUUCUGCUGAUAUUUUGAGCUGAGUGUGCACGCAUUCAACAGUGAAUGAAUAUUGGCAAUGAGAACG
rnacentral:tRNA from 1 species